GCUGGGUGUGGUGUUGAAUGCCUGUAAUCCCAGCAGCUCACGAGGCUGAGGCAGGAGGAUCGCAAGUUCAAAGUCAGCCUUAGCAACUUAGGCCCGAAGCAACUUAGGGAGAUCCUGUCUCUA
rnacentral:sRNA from 1 species